UACAGAGGUCCCAAGCGUUGUUCGGAUUCAUUGGGCGUAAAGGGUGCGUAGGUGGCGUCGUAAGUCGGGGGUGAAAUCUCGGGGCUUAACUCCGAAACUGCAUUCGAUACUGCGGUGCUUGAGGACUGGAGAGGAGACUGGAAUUUACGGUGUAGCGGUGAAAUGCGUAGAUAUUGGGAGGAACACCAGUGGCGAAGGCGGCUCACUGGACCGGAACUGACGCUGAGGCGCGAAAGCGUGGGGAGCAAACAGG
rnacentral:rRNA from 1 species